rnacentral:rRNA from 1 species
UAGGGGGCAAGCGUUAUCCGGAUUUACUGGGUGUAAAGGGAGCGUAGACGGCAGUGCAAGUCAGAAGUGAAAGGUCGGGGCUCAACCCCGGGACUGCUUUUGAAACUGUGCAGCUAGAGUGCAGGAGAGGCAAGCGGAAUUCCUAGUGUAGCGGUGAAAUGCGUAGAUAUUAGGAGGAACACCAGUGGCGAAGGCGGCUUGCUGGACUGUAACUGACGUUGAGGCUCGAAAGCGUGGGGAGCAAA